GAUGAACGCUGGCGGCGUGCUUAACACAUGCCAGUCGAACGAAGCACUUAAGAUUGCUUCUUCGGAUGACGUCUUUUGUGACUUAGUGGCGGACGGGUGAGUAACGCGUGGGUAACCUGCCUCACACAGGGGGAUAACAGUUAGAAAUGACUGCUAAUACCGCAUAACCCGAUAGGAUCGCAUGAUCCAGACGGAAAAGAUUUAUCGGUGUGAGAUGGACCCGCGUCUGAUUAGCUAGUUGGUGAGGUAACGGCCCACCAAGGCGACGAUCAGUAGCCGGCCUGAGAGGGUGAACGGCCACAUUGGGACUGAGACACGGCCCAAACUCCUACGGGAGGCAGCAGUGGGGAAUAUUGCACAAUGGGGGAAACCCUGAUGCAGCGACGCCGCGUGAGUGAAGAAGUAUUUCGGUAUGUAAAGCUCUAUCAGCAGGGAAGAAAAUGACGGUACCUGACUAAGAAGCCCCGGCUAACUACGUG
rnacentral:rRNA from 1 species